GUGGUGAAACUGAGUGGACAGCCAAGUGUCCAUAGUACAGCUGCCUCGUGUGGGACCCACUGCUCUAACGAGCCAGCCCCCGACACAGAAGCUGAGCACCCCCAAGCUGGGGAACCUAGAGAGACCUGCACCCGGGUCCCACGUGGAAGACUGGCUGGUGCCAUUUUGUCUUCUGUGGAUGGAUCCAGGACUAAACCUGUUUCUUAUGAGUCACAGGCACAAAGGAAGGGCACUACAACCACAACCAAUAUCAGUAAAGCUUUGGAAGACCUCUGCUACCUAUUUAAAAUAAUCAACACUCAGCCAGAAGAGAUUACCACAGUUCCAGAGACAAUGCUGGCACAAGGCUUCCAGCCCAUCCUGUCCACUGACACGGAGAAUGAAAUCGUCCUGCCUCUGGGCUCCUUAGAUCAGACACCGUCACUCCUCACCCUGGACACCUCACUCUGCACCCUGGACACCCUCACUCACCCUGGACACGUUCACUCACCCUGA
rnacentral:lncRNA from 1 species